UUGAACGCUGGCGGCAGGCCUAACACAUGCAAGUCGAACGGUAACAGGAAGAAGCUUGCUUCUUUGCUGACGAGUGGCGGACGGGUGAGUAAUGUCUGGGAAACUGCCUGAUGGAGGGGGAUAACUACUGGAAACGGUAGCUAAUACCGCAUAACGUCGCAAGACCAAAGAGGGGGACCUUCGGGCCUCUUGCCAUCGGAUGUGCCCAGAUGGGAUUAGCUAGUAGGUGGGGUAACGGCUCACCUAGGCGACGAUCCCUAGCUGGUCUGAGAGGAUGACCAGCCACACUGGAACUGAGACACGGUCCAGACUCCUACGGGAGGCAGCAGUGGGGAAUAUUGCACAAUGGGCGCAAGCCUGAUGCAGCCAUGCCGCGUGUAUGAAGAAGGCCUUCGGGUUGUAAAGUACUUUCAGCGGGGAGGAAGGGAGUAAAGUUAAUACCUUUGCUCAUUGACGUUACCCGCAGAAGAAGCACCGGCUAACUCCGUGCCAGCAGCCGCGGUAAUACGGAGGGUGCAAGCGUUAAUCGGAAUUACUGGGCGUAAAGCGCACGCAGGCGGUUUGUUAAGUCAGAUGUGAAAUCCCCGGGCUCAACCUGGGAACUGCAUCUGAUACUGGCAAGCUUGAGUCUCGUAGAGGGGGGUAGAAUUCCAGGUGUAGCGGUGAAAUGCGUAGAGAUCUGGAGGAAUACCGGUGGCGAAGGCGGCCCCCUGGACGAAGACUGACGCUCAGGUGCGAAAGCGUGGGGAGCAAACAGGAUUAGAUACCCUGGUAGUCCACGCCGUAAACGAUGUCGACUUGGAGGUUGUGCCCUUGAGGCGUGGCUUCCGGAGCUAACGCGUUAAGUCGACCGCCUGGGGAGUACGGCCGCAAGGUUAAAACUCAAAUGAAUUGACGGGGGCCCGCACAAGCGGUGGAGCAUGUGGUUUAAUUCGAUGCAACGCGAAGAACCUUACCUGGUCUUGACAUCCACGGAAGUUUUCAGAGAUGAGAAUGUGCCUUCGGGAACCGUGAGACAGGUGCUGCAUGGCUGUCGUCAGCUCGUGUUGUGAAAUGUUGGGUUAAGUCCCGCAACGAGCGCAACCCUUAUCCUUUGUUGCCAGCGGUUAGGCCGGGAACUCAAAGGAGACUGCCAGUGAUAAACUGGAGGAAGGUGAGGAUGACGUCAAGUCAUCAUGGCCCUUACGACCAGGGCUACACACGUGCUACAAUGGCGCAUACAAAGAGAAGCGACCUCGCGAGAGCAAGCGGACCUCAUAAAGUGCGUCGUAGUCCGGAUUGGAGUCUGCAACUCGACUCCAUGAAGUCGGAAUCGCUAGUAAUCGUGGAUCAGAAUGCCACGGUGAAUACGUUCCCGGGCCUUGUACACACCGCCCGUCACACCAUGGGAGUGGGUUGCAAAAGAAGUAGGUAGCUUAACCUUCGGGAGGGCGCUUACCACUUUGUGAUUCAUGACUGGGGUG
rnacentral:rRNA from 1 species